rnacentral:rRNA from 1 species
GUCUUUGAACGCAAGUUGCGCCCGAAGCCGUCAGGCCGAGGGCACGUCUGCCUGGGCGUCACGCGCCGUUGCCUUCCCCGCGCGCCUCCUUCGGGAGCGUCGGGGAGGGCGGACGAUGGCCUCCCGUGCCUCACCCCGCGCGGUUGGCCCAAAUGCCGAGUCCUCGGCGACGAACGCCACGACAGUCGGUGGUUGUCAAACCUCGGUUGCCUGUUGUGCGCGUUCGUCGCGCUCCGAGCGGCUCGCGACGAUCGCUGCCCUGCAUCGGCGGAGCUUUCAACGCGACCCCAGGUCAGGCGGGGUUACCCGCUGAAUUUAAGCAUAUCAAUAAGCGGAGGAAAAGAAACUUACGAGGAUUCCCCUAGUAACGGCGAGCGAACCGGGAACAGCCC